rnacentral:rRNA from 1 species
CCUACGGGAGGCAGCAGUGAGGAAUAUUGGUCAAUGGGCGUAAGCCUGAACCAGCCAAGUCGCGUGAGGGAUGAAGGUUCUAUGGAUCGUAAACCUCUUUUAUAAGGGAAUAAAGUGUGGGACGUGUCCGAUUUUGUAUGUACCUUAUGAAUAAGGAUCGGCUAACUCCGGGCCAGCAGCCGCGGUAAUACGGAGGAUCCGAGCGUUAUCCGGAUUUAGUGGGGUUAAAGGGUGCGUAGGCGGCCUUUUAAGUCAGCGGUGAAAGUCUGUGGCUCAACCAUAGAAUUGCCGUUGACACUUGGGGGCUUGCGUAUGUUUGAGGCAGCCGGAAUGCGUGUUGUAGCGGU